rnacentral:rRNA from 1 species
UACGUAGGGACCGAGCGUUGUCCGGAAUCAUUGGGCGUAAAGAGCGUGUAGGCGGCCACUUAAGUCCUGCGUGAAAUCUUGCGGCUCAACCGCAAGCGGUCGUGGGAAACUGGGUGGCUAGAGUGCGGGAGAGGAGAGUGGAAUUCCUGGUGUAGCGGUGGAAUGCGCAGAUAUCAGGAAGAACACCCGUGGCGAAGGCGGCUCUCUGGAGCGCAACUGACGCUGAGACGCGAAAAGCGUGGGGAGCAAACAGG